rnacentral:rRNA from 2 species
AACGACUCUCGGCAACGGAUAUCUUGGCUCUCGCAUCGAUGAAGAACGCAGCAAAAUGCGAUACUUGGUGUGAAUUGCAGAAUCCCGUGAAUCAUCGAGUUUUUGAACGCAAGUUGCGCCCGAAGCCUUUUGGCCGAGGGCACGUCUGCCUGGGUGUCGCGC